rnacentral:rRNA from 1 species
AACGGGUGAGUAACACGUGGGUAACCUGCCCCCAUCUCUGGGAUAACCGUUGGAAACGGCGGCUAAUACCGGAUACGACCUGGUUCCGCAUGGUGCUGGGUGGAAAGUUUUUGCGGUUGGGGAGGGGCCCGCGGCCUAUCAGCUUGUUGGUGCGGUAGUGGCGCACCAAGGCGAUGACGGGUAGCCGGCCUGAGAGGGCGGUCGGUCACAUUGGGACUGAGAUACGGCCCAGACUCCUACGGGAGGCAGCAGUGGGGAAUUUUGCACAAUGGGCGAAAGCCUGAUGCAGCGACGCCGCGUGAGGGAUGACGGCUUUCGGGUUGUAAACCUCUUUUAUCCACCACGAAGGCGGUGUAUUCGCACCGUUGACGGUAGUGGUUGAAUAAGCGCCGGCUAACUACGUGCCAGCAGCCGCGGUAAGACGUAGGGCGCGAGCGUUGUCCGGAUUUAUUGGGCGUAAAGGGCUCGUAGGCGGUUGAUUGCGUCCGCCGUGAAAGGCCUCGGCUUAACCGGGGUUUUGCGGUGGAUACGGGUCGACUUGAGGCAAUUAGGGGAGAUCGGAAUUCUACGUGUAGCGGUGAAAUGCGCAGAUAUGUGGAGGAACACCGGUGGCGAAGGCGGAUCUCUGGGAUUGUUCUGAC